AUUUGCGUAUUCAAAUAUGCAAAAGUAACAUAGACAAUUAUGCUAUAUAUUCACUUGAAUGUAAGGAUGUAGCAAGUGUAUACACACUAUUAAUGUGUUCCUUGUUUCUCGCCUAUUUGUUGAUAUCUUGUCCUCUUGACAUUUUACUUCACUUCGUUUCUGGCAUCGAGAGCGUGUGGUUUAUAAAAUCUUUAUUGUUAUGGGCCCAGACACAACUACAGUGAAUAAGUAAAGCAUACCUAUAUACAUUUAAUCAAUUCGCGAGUUUUUUUUCUGGAAACGCUUUGACAAAUUAGCCGCAAAUCACCACGUAGCGGCAGGACGGUGUUACAAGAUAGUGCUACUGUUGAGAAACGUUAUUGCUGUAAGAAGUUGCUGGAAAUUGUGGCUGUGAAAUUUGCUUUUGUGUGAUAGAAUCUUACAAUGGAUAAAGGGAAAAGAAAUAUCAAACCGUUUGACGGUGAGAAAUAUUCAAUAUGGAAGUUUAGAAUGAGAGCGUU